rnacentral:rRNA from 1 species
AGUAAUACAUCGGAACGUGCCCUGUAGUGGGGGAUAACUAGUCGAAAGAUUAGCUAAUACCGCAUACGACCUGAGGGUGAAAGUGGGGGACCGCAAGGCCUCAUGCUAUAGGAGCGGCCGAUGUCUGAUUAGCUAGUUGGUGGGGUAAAGGCCUACCAAGGCGACGAUCAGUAGCUGGUCUGAGAGGACGAUCAGCCACACUGGGACUGAGACACGGCCCAGACUCCUACGGGAGGCAGCAGUGGGGAAUUUUGGACAAUGGGCGAAAGCCUGAUCCAUCAAUGCCGCGUGUGUGAAGAAGGCCUUCGGGUUGUAAAGCACUUUUGUCCGGAAAGAAAUGGCUCUGGUUAAUACCCGGAGUUGAUGACUGUACCGGAAGAAUAAGGACCGGCUAACUACGUGCCAGCAGCCGCGGUAAUACGUAGGGUCCAAGCGUUAAUCGGAAUUACUGGGCGUAAAGCGUGCGCAGGCGGUUGUGCAAGACCGAUGUGAAAUCCCCGGGCUUAACCUGGGAAUUGCAUUGGUGACUGCACGGCUAGAGUGUGUCAGAGGGAGGUAGAAUUCCGGAUGUGGCAAUGAAAUGCCUACAGAUGUGGAGGAAUACCGAUGGCGAAGGCAGCCUCCUGGGAUAACACUGACGCUCAUGCACGAAAGCGUGGGGAGCAAACAGGAUUAGAUACCCUGGUAGUCCACGCCCUAAACGAUGUCAACUAGUUGUUGGGGAUUCAUUUCCUUAGUAACGUAGCUAACGCGUGAAGUUGACCGCCUGGGGAGUACGGUCGCAAGAUUAAAACUCAAAGGAAUUGACGGGGACCCGCACAAGCGGUGGAUGAUGUGGAUUAAUUCGAUGCAACGCGAAAAACCUUACCUACCCUUGACAUGCCACUAACGAAGCAGAGAUGCAUUAGGUGCUCGAAAGAGAAAGUGGACACAGGUGCUGCAUGGCUGUCGUCAGCUCGUGUCGUGAGAUGUUGGGUUAAGUCCCGCAACGAGCGCAACCCUUGUCUCUAGUUGCUACGAAAGGGCACUCUAGAGAGACUGCCGGUGACAAACCGGAGGAAGGUGGGGAUGACGUCAAGUCCUCAUGGCCCUUAUGGGUAGGGCUUCACACGUCAUACAAUGGUGCAUACAGAGGGUUGCCAAGCCGCGAGGUGGAGCUAAUCCCAGAAAAUGCAUCGUAGUCCGGAUCGUAGUCUGCAACUCGACUACGUGAAGCUGGAAUCGCUAGUAAUCGCGGAUCAACAUGCCGCGGUGAAUACUUUCCCGGGUCUUUGUACACACCGCCCGUCACACCAUUG